rnacentral:rRNA from 1 species
UAUCAGGCACGCCCAAAACAUCUAGCCACGCCACACCCAGGGUACUCAGCAGUGAUUAACUUUUUUUUAAACGUCAGUUUGAUUUAGUCAGUGAAAAUGGAGCCGGCCAACCUGGUGCCAGCCGCCGCGGUUACACCAGGGGCUCAAAUUGAUUCGGCGUAAAGCGUGAUUAAAGGGUUAAAUUUUAACUAAACUGUUUAACGUUUGUUAUAAUGAACUCAUACUCGAAAGAUACCUCAACCAACCAACUUGAACUCACGACAACUGGGAUACAAACUGGGAUUAGACACCCCACUAUGCCCAGUUAUAAACUUUAACUUACCGCCAGGGAAUUACGAGCAAAGCUUGAAACCCAAAGGACUUGACGGUGCCCCAUAUCCCCCUAGAGGAGCCUGUCCCAUAAUCGAUGAUCCCCGCUACACCCUACCACUCCUAGUUCAGCUUGUAUACUUCCGUCGACAGCUUACCGUGUGAACGUAGUAAGCCUAAUGAUUUUCCAGUACGUCAGGUCAAAGUGCAGCUCAUGGGGUGGAGAGAGAUGGGCUACACUUUCUAUAGAAGAUACGAAAGUCUAUAUGAAACAUUCUGAAGGCGGAUUUAGUAGUAAAAAAAUAGCAUAUCCUUUUUAAGGCACUGGAGCGUGUACACACCGCCCGUCACCCUCU